CACAGGUGACCCUGGGAGUGUCCCAGGUGACCCUGAGGUCACAGGUGACCCUGAGGUGACUCUGGUGACCCUGGGGUGACACAGGUGACCCUGGGGGUGACCCAGGUGACCCUGAGGUGACCCAGGUGACCCUGGGGGUGACACAGGUGACCCAGGUGACCCCUGAGGUGACCCAGGUGACCCUGAGGUGUCCCAGGUGACCCCAGGGGUGACCCAGGUGACCCUGGGGGUGACACAGGUGACCCAGGUGACCCUGGGAGUGUCCCAGGUGACCCUGGGGGUGACCCAGGUGACCCUGAGGUGACACAGGUGACCCUGAGGUCACACAGGUGACACAGGUGACCCCACAGGUGACUCAGGUGACCCAGGUGUCCCCCCCAGGGCGGGAUGCUGGCGGUGAGGGAGAACAGGUGACCCUGGGGGUGACCCAGGUGACCCUGAGGUGACAGAGAUGACCCAGGUGACCUUGAGGUGACACAGGUGACCCUGAGGUCACACAGGUGACCCUGGGAGUGUCCCAGGUGACCCUGAGGUCACACAGGUGACCCAGGUGACCCUGAGGUGACACAGGUGACCCUGGGGGUAACACAGGUGACCUUGGUGGCCCAGGUGACCCUGGGGGUGACACAGGUGAUACCAAUGACCCCAGGGGUGACCCAGGUGACCCAGGUGACCCAGGUGUCCCCCCCAGGGCGGGAUGCUGGCGGUGCGGGAGAACAGGUGACCCUGGGGGUGGCACAGGUGACCCAGGUGACCCAGGUGUCCCCCCCAGGGCGGGAUGCUGGCGGUGAGGGAGAACAGGUGA
rnacentral:lncRNA from 1 species